GUUAUAUUUUGUCUGAAGCCCUUCCUAUGGCUCUUUGCUGUCUGACCACCUAUUUUACUCCGACAGUGCUCUUUGCCGUGAUGUUCUGCCUUACCCUAGACAGCCCUAAAAAAAGCAGUGAAGCCAGAUUCCUACAGACUGAAACCAGGAGCAGAAAUGUGCUGUACACCUAUGGCCCUACAGCCCUACAGCAAGACGGGAGGCAGAGACAGGCAAACUGCUCAGGAGCACGAGGCCAGCUAGCCUGGCAUAUGCAGCAAAGCAGCAGAAGCAACAUGCACUUUCGGAACAAGG
rnacentral:lncRNA from 1 species